UCGAAUCCUAGAAAGCACGACCGCGGACNAGUUGUUAAUCGAGGCAGUCUUGGGAAGCAUUCAUGCAACCUUUGCUGACUCACUCGUUUGGCGCGGGACCUUGUGUUCCAAGCCGACCGAGACUAAAGUACCCCGGCGCGGACAGCGCCAAGGAAUCAAAACGAAGGAACUUGUUUUCACGCUCCGUCUCCGGACCGUUGAAAAUCAUGUGUCUGUUCAAUAUAAAUCACAACGACUCUCGGCAACGGAUAUCUCGGCUCUCGCAUCGAUGAAGAACGUAGCGAAAUGCGAUACUUGGUGUGAAUUGCAGAAUCCCGUGAACCAUCGAGUCUUUGAACGCAAGUUGCGCCCGAAGCCAUUAGGCCGAGGGCACGCCUGCCUGGGCGUCACGCAAUGUGAUGCCCCCCCAUCCAAACUAGAUGGGGGGCGAAGCUUGGCCUCCCGUGAGCCAACUCGCGGAUGGCUUAAAAACGAGCCUCGAGAUGAUGAGUCGUCGCGACAAGUGGUGGUUAAAGGACUUCGUCCCCUGGUACUUUGCGUGUUGCGUCCCUCUCAUUUUCGUAUCUCUGAAGUAACCUCGAAGNAGCGCCNUGGCGCUGCCAGCAUC
rnacentral:misc_RNA from 1 species